rnacentral:lncRNA from 10 species
UUCCUCCCCUCCCUUUCCUGGGAGGGCACCGCCCCAGGGACUAGUGCUCAGAAGCUGGUCGUAAAACUGAUGGCGUCCUCUCUCCUGUUCAGGUUUGGGAAAUUGCUCCUGCUCCUCCCGUCUUUGAGGUUUAUCACUGCGGAACGCAUCGAGCUCCUCUUUUUCCGCAAGACCAUAGGGAAUACUCCAAUGGAGAAGCUCCUUUGUGAUAUGUUCAAAAACUAGUGGGGGUGGAGGUGAAAUGUUUCCAAGCACUCUGGAAAACAAUCUACUGAAACGAAACAUUUGCCUACUCUUUGCCCCAGCAAUUCCUCGUAGGUGUGUGUACCCAGCAGAAAUGCCCACCGAAAGAUAUUACCUCAAUAAAAAAGUAAAAAAAAAAAACAAAAAA